CAUAGGGCCGCCACGUUGUACGGCAACUGACGUACCGCCCCUCCGUGGGUGGGGAUCCACCUCAGCAAGCCACAACGAUGCCAAGGGUUUUUGUUAAUGAACCACUCUGAUGAAGAAAAGCUAGAGGAGAACAUUUUUUUUUGCUUGGGAAUGAAGAACAGCUAUAUGACAUUCAUUGCUUGGUGCCUGGCUUCAUGAUAUUGUCAAGGUCAUGCCUUUAACAGUAAAGGCUUUGGCUCCUUUUCAGUGGUCCACUGAUGUUUUCUGGCACAGACAAGCAAAUUCAACCCAGGAACUUUAUUGUGGUACCAUACGACUGUAAGUUUCUAAGCACAAUGGAUUUUAUUAGUCCAAAAUAUGCCUACUGGACCACACAGCUCUGAGACCCA